rnacentral:rRNA from 1 species
AGCGAACGCUGGCGGCAGGCCUAACACAUGCAAGUCGAACGAAGCCUUCGGGCUUAGUGGCGGACGGGUGAGUAACACGUGGGAACGUACCUUUUGGUUCGGAAUAACGCAGAGAAAUUUGCGCUAAUACCGAAUGAGCCCUUCGGGGGAAAGAUUUAUCGCCGAAAGAUCGGCCCGCGUUGGAUUAGGUAGUCGGUGUGGUAAAGGCGCACCAAGCCUACGAUCCAUAGCUGGUCUGAGAGGAUGAUCAGCCACACUGGGACGGAGACACGGCCCAGACUCCUAUGGGAGGCAGCAGUGCGGAAUCUUGCGCCAUGGGCGAAAGCCUGACGCAGCCAUUCCGCGUGGAUGAUGAAGGUCGUAGGAUUGUAAAAUUCUUUUACCAGGGACGAUAAUUACGGUACCUGGAGAAAAAGCCCCGGCUAACUUCGUGCCAGCCGCCGCGGUAACAC